rnacentral:piRNA from 1 species
UAGUAUGGUCCACAGUUAUAUCAG